GUGCUCGCUUUGGCAGCACAUAUACUAAAAUUGGAAAAAUAAAGAGAAGCUUCGCGUGAUCCCUGCAGGAGGAUGACACACAAAUUUGUGACGCAUUCCAUUAAAAA
ensembl:snRNA U6 U6 spliceosomal RNA